rnacentral:rRNA from 1 species
CUCGCGGCCUAUCAGCUUCGUUCGGUGGGGUAAUGGCCUACCAAGGCGUUCGACAGGUAGCUCGGCCUGAGAAGGUGGAAGGCUCACAUUCGGGACUGAGAUCACCGGCCCAGAAUCCUACGGGAGGCCACCAUGGGGAAUAAUGCACAAUGGGCCGCAAGCCUGAAGCAGCCACCCCCCCGUGGGGGAAUGAACGGCCCUUCGGGUUCGUAAACUCCUUUUCUUAGGGAACAAACCCCCACUUUUUUUUGGGUGUUGGUUGACGGUACCUUUUGUCAAGAAGCACCGGCUAACUACGUGCCAGCAGCCGCGGUAAUACGUAGGGUGCGAGCGUUGUCCGGAAUUACUGGGCGUAAAGAGCUCGUAGGUGGUUUUGUUGCGUCGUCUGUGAAAUUCCGGGGCUUAACUUCGGGGUGGCAGGCGAUACGGGCAUAACUAGAGUGCUGUAGGGGAGACUGGAAUUCCUGGUGUAGCGGUGGAAUGCGCAGAUAUCAGGAGGAACACCGAUGGCGAAGGCAGGUCUCUGGGCAGUAACUGACGCUGAGGAGCGAAAGCAUGGGGAGCGAACAGGAUUAGAUACCCUGGUAGUCCAUGCUGUAAACGGUGGGCGUUAGGUGUGGGGACCGGUUUGGUUUCUGUGCCGUAGCUAACGCAUUAAGCGCCCCGCCUGGGGAGUACGGCCGCAAGGCUAAAACUCAAAGGAAUUGACGGGGGCCCGCACAAGCGGCGGAGCAUGUGGAUUAAUUCGAUGCAACGCGAAGAACCUUACCUGGGUUUGACAUGCACCAGACGGUUGUAGAGAUACGUACCUCCCUUUGUGGUUGGUGUGCAGGUGGUGCAUGGUUGUCGUCAGCUCGUGUCGUGAGAUGUUGGGUUAAGUCCCGCAACGAGCGCAACCCUUGUCUUAUGUUGCCAGCACGUUUGGGUGGGGACUCAUGAGAGACUGCCGGGGUUAACUCGGAGGAAGGUGGGGAUGACGUCAAAUCAUCAUGCCCUUUAUGCCCAGGGCUUCACACAUGCUACAAUGGUUAGUACAACGCGCUGCGAGCCUGUGAGGGUGAGCGAAUCGCUGAAAGCUAAUCUCAGUUCGGAUUGGGGUCUGCAACUCGACCCCAUGAAGUCGGAGUCGCUAGUAAUCGCAGAUCAGCAAUGCUGCGGUGAAUACGUUCCCGGGCCUUGUACACACCGCCCGUC